GCCUGGCUUACCUGCACACACACACCAAAACAUCACCUAAAGCAAAUUGGGAAUGGUCAUCUCCUAGCAAGACACAAAAUUGGUAUGAGGUUUUUAGAGAGUUAAUGCAAGAGGCUGGGACUCAGCAUACCCAAACUUGCUCAUGAGACAGUUUCCAGUUACGCACAGACGUCAUCAGCACCUUUGGUGAACAGUCAGCAAAUGAUGCUAUCAGCAAUAUUUAAUGCCGCCACAGUCUUUGCCCCGAGCAGCAAGUUUUAUGUAUCUAUGAGAAGUGAUGCAACCACAGGUGCAAUUCCCAGCAGCACGGACUGGAUGGAUAAGGAGGGGGCCCAGGGGCUCAUCCUGCAAAUUGUUCCCAAAUGCUCCUUGGACUGGGAACAAGUGGAGGAAAAAACAACAACAAAAAAAAGUACAGUGAGCCUACUGAUACACAGGUUGUGGAGCAAGGCCAUGGUGGUCACUAGCUUUUAAAGACCUAGACAGAAAAUGGAGCCCCUCCCUGGGAACCUGAUGGGCAGAUUCAGAGGAAUCUGCUCAAGAUAAAGCCGCAGAGGCUGCUGAGCACCAGUUGUUCCUGGGGAAAGGAAUUGACACCAAG